GAUGAACGCUGGCGGCGUGCUUAACACAUGCAAGUCGAACGGAAAGGCCCAAGCUUGCUUGGGUACUCGAGUGGCGAACGGGUGAGUAACACGUGGGUGAUCUGCCCCGCACUUCGGGAUAAGCCUGGGAAACUGGGUCUAAUACCGGAUAGGACAGUGGUUUGGAUGCCAUUGUGGAAAGUUUUUUCGGUGUGGGAUGAGCUCGCGGCCUAUCAGCUUGUUGGUGGGGUAAUGGCCUACCAAGGCGUCGACGGGUAGCCGGCCUGAGAGGGUGUACGGCCACAUUGGGACUGAGAUACGGCCCAGACUCCGACGGGAGGCAGCAGUGGGGAAUAUUGCACAAUGGGCGCAAGCCUGAUGCAGCGACGCCGCGUGGGGGAUGACGGCCUUCGGGUUGGAAACUCCUUUCGCUAGGGACGAAGCGUUAUGUGACGGUACCUAGAGAAGAAGCACCGGCUAACUACGUG
rnacentral:rRNA from 1 species